CUGACAGACCAGCCAAAGGUAAAGUGCUGGAUAGGAAGGGAGAACCAGAGGAGACUUGCAGAGCCUCAGCCUCCAGAAGCUUAUAGCUUCAUCAAGGAUUUGGGGAUGCACUAAGACAUAUCAGCCAGACAGAAGGACAAGCCCUAAGAGAAAGAGGUAAAAGUAUGUGUGUCCCCAAAUUCAUCUGCUGGAAAUUAUCUCCACCUCGCGGUCCACAGGUGACAGGUAGCAUCUUUAAGAGGUGACUGAGUUGGGAGGUGUCGCCCUUGUGAGUAGAUGACUGAUUUUACUUUCUUCACAGCCAGGAGUCCCCUCCCCCACAAACACAGCCCUCAGUCUUGAAUUGCCCAACUACCAGAACCAAGAGCUAAAAACCUUUGAUGGUUUAUAAUUUACUUUGGGUUUAUAAUUUAAUGUUUGUGGUGUUAAUUGUAGCAACAGAAACUGAACUAAGGCCAGCUGUAGUGGUGCAUGCCUUUAAUCUUAGUACUCAGGAGGUAGAGGCAGGCUGAUCUCUGAGGUUUUGGCCAGCCUGGUCUACAGAGGGAGUUCCCUGUUAGCCAGGGCGACACAGGGAAAUGCUGUCUCAAAAAAACAAACAGAAAACUGAACUAAGACAGACAGAUACAAAUAUUUACACUAAGGGUAGCUAAUAUUUUAGGCUCCUCACAGUUGAGUUAUUAUUAAAAGACAGCCCCUACUAUAUAUUGGUGUUCUUCUAAGUUAUUUGUAUAUAUUUACAUUAUUUAAUCUCCCCAGAUCCCCAUGAGGUAGUCAUAGGUUUCCUUGCCUCUGGCUCUCAUAGACUCUCUGAUGGCUGCUUGGCCAACUGGAAUUCCCAAGUCUCCUUUCUGGCCAUUCUCACGUCUAGUGGGGGUUGAAGAUAAAAAAUGUUAAGUGUGCACACUGGGCACGCUUGACUGGUGCCCAGCUCU
rnacentral:lncRNA from 1 species